rnacentral:lncRNA from 1 species
GACAAAAAAGUGACUACAGUUGGACAGAAAGAAAAUGACAGAAAGAAAAGAAAAGAAAACAGAAGAAAAGAAAAAAAAGAAAACAGAAGAGAAGGCAAGAAAAGAAGAAAAGAAAAGAAAAAAGAAAAAAAGAAAAAGAAAAAAAGAAAAGAGCUACCGUAACUUUUUUGGAGUGAAGUGAUUAAGAGCACCAAUUCUAGAGCCAGGCUGCCUGGGUUCCCAUCUUCGUUCUAUCAAAUACUAGUUGUGCCACCUUGGGAUUACGGAAGCAAGUAUCUGGAAUUAUCAGCCUGGAUCAGUGAGAAAACAUGAGCAGAGCCCCAGUGCUGAUCUGCAAU